AACUGAAAAUGGCGGGAACAACUCUGUCGUGUGAGGCCGCUUUUCCGAUCGCUGUGCACUGGCAGUCAUCGGAACUCGUGGGACAGAACGACUUUUCUUUUGUGCUUGUAUAUAAACAUUUCUCCAGUGUUGUUGUAAAAAGACUGAUGGCUCAAGGACAGUUUGCGGAGAAAAAACAUUGGGACGGUCGAGUUUUUCAGUGUCGUACGGACCGACUGCUGUGUCGUCGCGCUCCCAUCACAGAUGGAGCUGCGCGGUAUAGAGGAUUUCCCCUGAUCGGAAGCACGUGAGCCUCGGAGUUGAACACCCAAUCGUCGAGGCUUAUGAGGUCGUCGUCGCUGAACAACAGCUGUGCAAGAAACGCUCCUCGCGGAUCCGAAAAAUCUUUCUGCAAUAUCUUCCCUUGGAUAUAAAAGAGACGGAACAGACAUGGCCACCCACGAGGCUGGAUCGCGACGCCCUGGGAGGUGAAUUUCUUCAUCGCCGUCCCGGAGGGUCGAAUGCGUCAAUUGUCUCCAAGCGACAUGUGCCUUCCGGCGUACAGCGAGGGAGGAUUCAGAGGGAGACAGGCGAGGAGACAGAGCGUGGAAAAAGAAAGGGAAGAAGAGCACAAGACCCUCGGGACUAACAACUGGCGAGGCAAGAAGAAUAAUGAUCGCUGGGAUGCUGUAGGUGUCUAUGGAUCACUCUAUGAAUAGCCCGAAGCAUUGGCAAAUCGUGUGUACAUAUAUUUGUGCUGAGACAUACGAGCUUGAUUGGACGCGCUACAACCGAGUAGUGUGUGGAUUAAAUUCUCAUUUGAAAUUUCUCUUCCAUUCGGAUACUCGAAAAAAUAUUUUAAGUGAGUAAACUGGCGAAUAUACACAAAUGUGAUGUUUCAUUUUGCCCCUUUUUUUCGUUGGUUUCGCUCACCAGCAGCGCUACUCCGAAAUAUGUAAAUCCCCGGUUUACCACGGCGAUACUUCACGCGCGCAUAGCCAGUGACGCGAAGUGAGGAGAGUCCAAGCGAACCCCAAGGUGGGGACCAAUAAAAUAAUAACGCACGAAAUUUUCGCUUGCUCGAUCGUCAUUCGCACGCAAUAAUAUUAAAAUGCGAUAUUGAGCGGAAAUGAGGAAGAGAAAAAAAGGGAGACCAACAAAAUGUGCGGGUUUAGAGAGCACAGCUGCACCAGAGUCUUCGGAGCCGUCAGACGACGCACUGAAGCAAAUCCACGUGAUUCGUUCUUCGGAGUUUUUCGGGCUCUUCUCGAUACAGAAUUCAUAAAUGGUAGUUAUACAAGAAAGCAACAGUGGAAUUGGCGCUACCAAAGAGAGAGAGAGAGAGAGAGAGACUCGCUGCUAUUCGGAAAGCGAACAGAUCGGGGAUUAUCGAAACGAGCUGUAACGGAAUUGAGGCUCGGAUGCUUUUUAUUUUUUCACCUUAUUUACAUUCCCUUCUACAACGUCUAUUUCAACCAAACUCACAUCUCUGGCUUGCGGUAUUUUUAUUGUAUGCCAAGGAAUUAUGGAUUUACGAUUUUAUUUAUAGGCUCAUAAAGGAUGUACAGUUUCCAGCGUGAGCCAAACAAUUGACAAAAAAAUAUUAAAUCUGCUAUCGUUAGUAGUAAAAAAAAACUUUAUUUGCGAAAA
rnacentral:lncRNA from 1 species